CUGACGCUGGGCUUACCGUGUCAUACACACACAAACACGAGCGCACUCAUUGAAACUGAAAUUGAAAUUGAAGAAUUUCACUGUAAGUCAUGCGCUCAGGCAAAAGAAGCGCGAACAUCACGAGCAUCACGAGCUAAAAGAAACUCUCUCCAUGUGGGCGGCGGCAGGUCCGCCCACACGACACUCCUAAAAGUGCAGAAGCAGCAGGAAUUCGAGCUCCCGCUGGAGAUCUCCAUGAUCUUCAUGGUACUACUCGUUUCGUUUUUGGAAUACAAAUAUUACGUAUACGAUGGCGGGGUGUCAACAAACUUGUAAUAUGGAACAAGUAUGAUUCAAUGAUGUCGGUAUGGUAUCUCCCUGAAUAGAACACUUGCCCUGAGAACGGGACUGAGAGCUGGUAGCUGUUCGAUGCGAUUGGCAAUCAAGUAGCUGUACCUGUACCUGGGACAAGCUGUUGUGCAUACAGCUUAUGCAACCUUAUGAAAUGCAGCCCAGAAGAUUGACUUUGAACGAACGAGAUUAAGCUGCACGAGAAACGCAAA